GUUUAAAAAUCUUCUUUUUCUUUGAAAACCCUCCUAAAAAGGGGACGAAACUUCCUAACACUUUCUACGAAAACACAAAAGCAAUUUACUUUACAUUGCUCUCUCUGCACUUCAGUUGUCACAUUGCGUCGGUUACUCCAACAAUCGUGAGAAAAAAAAUUGUUGUGUCAAAUCUGGUGUCAUCUCUCCUGCGACAAUCACAGAAGAUGAGUGGUGAAGAAAAUGUGAAAACGUCGCCGUAUAGGCGGCAUCAGAAUAGUAAUGAGGAUUUGGAAGCUGGGAUUAAUGGCAGCAGUAGCAGGUCUAUGGAUUGUGGUGGAAGUCCUUUUGAUAUUCCAAGGACUAAGAGCGCACCUAUUGACCGCUUGAAACGCUGGAGGCAAGCUGCGCUUGUCCUUAAUGCUUCUCGUCGAUUUCGAUAUACCUUGGACUUAAAAAAGGAAGAAGAAAGAAAGCAAUUGAUUGCUAAAAUAAGAACCCAUGCCCAAGUUAUUCGGGCAGCUGUUCUUUUUCAAGAAGCGGGGCGAACAGUCAAUGGGGAUGAGGCUCUUAAGACGUUGCCCACAACUACUACCUCCCUCGGCGAGUUUGAUAUCAGCCAAGAGGAGCUGGCGUAUAUGUCUAGAGAGCACGACGUCCCUGCUUUGCAGUGAUGUGGAGGGGUUAAAGGGGUGUCAGAGAAGUUGAAAACAAAUUUAGAUAAAGGAAUUGAUGGAGAUGAAGUAGAUCUGCUGAAACGGAAGAAUGCAUAUGGAUCCAACACAUAUCCUCGGAAGAAAGGGAGGAGUUUCUGGAGGUUUGUCUGGGAAGCUUGCUGUGAUACAACCCUGAUUAUUUUGAUGGUAGCCGCAGCUGCAUCAUUGGCGCUGGGCAUAAAGACUGAGGGUAUAAAAGAAGGAUGGUACGAUGGAGGAAGCAUUGCUUUGGCAGUGAUUAUUGUCAUAGUUGUGACAGCUGUUAGUGACUAUAAGCAAUCACUUCAGUUUCAAAAUCUUAAUGAAGAGAAGCAGAACAUACAAAUUGAGGUUGUUAGAGGUGGGCGGAGAAUUCCCGUUUCAAUAUUUGAUGUAGUUGUUGGUGAUGUUGUGCCUCUGAAAAUUGGUGACCAGGUACCUGCUGAUGGAAUAUUAAUCUCGGGUCACUCUCUUGCGAUUGAUGAAUCAAGCAUGACAGGAGAGAGCAAGAUUGUUCACAAGGAUUCAAAAUCACCUUUCCUUAUGUCUGGAUGCAAAGUAGCCGAUGGCUAUGGAACGAUGCUGGUGAUAGGCGUUGGAAUAAACACAGAAUGGGGAUUGCUGAUGGCAAGCAUUACAGAGGAUAAUGGAGAGGAAACACCAUUGCAGGUCCGUUUGAAUGGGGUGGCAACCUUCAUUGGUAUAGUUGGUCUCACUGUAGCUUUAGCUGUUCUGAUUGUCCUUAUGAUCAGAUUCUUUACUGGGCAUACUUAUAACCCAGACGGCACUGUUCAAUUCAAAGCUGGGAAAACAAGGGUUGGCAAGGCUGUAGAUGGAGCUAUAAAGAUCUUCACUGUUGCUGUUACUAUUGUGGUUGUGGCAGUGCCAGAAGGACUUCCUUUGGCAGUUACCCUAACGCUUGCCUAUUCAAUGAGGAAAAUGAUGGCAGAUAAGGCUUUGGUGAGAAGGCUUUCUGCUUGUGAAACUAUGGGCUCUGCAACUACAAUUUGCAGUGAUAAAACUGGAACCUUGACUUUGAAUCAGAUGACUGUGGUUGAGGCAUAUGUCUGCGGUAAAAAGAUUGAUCCACCUGAUGAUAGAUCUGCAGUGCCUCCAACUGUGUUGUCUCUACUCCAUGAAGGAGUGGGACUGAAUACCACUGGAAGCAUUUUUGUGCCACAGGGUGGUGCUGCUGCUGAGAUUUCCGGAUCGCCGACAGAGAAAGCUAUUCUCCAAUGGGGUGUCAAUCUAGGGAUGAAUUUUGAUGCAGUACGAUCAAAAGCAUCCAUUAUCCAUGCUUUCCCAUUCAACUCAGAGAAAAAAAGAGGUGGCGUUGCUGUGAAGCUGCAUGAUUCUGAGGUUCACUUGCACUGGAAAGGGGCGGCUGAGAUUGUUCUCUCUUGUUGUACAAGUUUCAUUGAUGAGAAUGGGUCGGUGGUUCCUCUGGGUGAUGAUAAGGUGUCUCAUUUCAAGCAAUCCAUCAAUGACAUGGCAGCAUCAAGUUUGCGAUGCGUUGCUAUUGCCUAUAGACAAUAUGAUGUUGAGAAAGUUCCCAACGAAGAAGAAGUAGAGCAAUGGCAAAUACCUGAGGGUGAUCUGGUAUUGCUUGCCAUUGUUGGCAUUAAGGAUCCAUGCCGACCAGGUGUAAGAGAUGCAGUUCAGUUAUGUAUUGAUGCUGGAGUGAAGGUAAGGAUGGUCACUGGUGACAACUUACAAACAGCAAGAGCAAUAGCUUUGGAAUGUGGGAUUCUUAAGUCUGAUGCUGAUGCAACUGAACCAAACCUGAUUGAAGGGAAGAGGUUUAGAGCUUUAUCGGAGGAAGAUAGAAAGGAAGUGGCAGAGAAAAUAUCGGUUAUGGGAAGAUCUUCUCCUAAUGAUAAGCUCUUGCUUGUUCAAGCACUAAGGAGUAAGGGCCAUGUUGUAGCUGUAACUGGCGAUGGCACUAAUGAUGCUCCUGCACUACAUGAGGCUGAUAUUGGUCUUGCUAUGGGCAUUCAAGGAACAGAAGUUGCCAAAGAAAGUUCAGAUAUCAUCAUCCUGGAUGACAAUUUUGCUUCUGUCGUGAAGGUUGUCCGAUGGGGCAGAUCCGUAUAUGCUAACAUCCAGAAAUUCAUCCAGUUUCAGCUAACUGUUAACGUUGCUGCUCUUAUAAUUAAUGUUGUUGCUGCAGUUUCUGCUGGUGAUGUCCCAUUGAAUGCUGUUCAGCUACUUUGGGUAAAUCUUAUUAUGGACACCUUGGGUGCGCUUGCACUGGCCACAGAACCACCAACUGAUCAUCUAAUGCGCCGAGCUCCUGUUGGUCGAAGGGAACCUCUCGUCACCAAUAUAAUGUGGAGAAACCUAUUAAUACAGGCUCUGUAUCAAGUUACAGUUCUCCUAAUCCUCAAUUUCCGAGGUGAACAAAUUCUGCAUUUGGAGCAUGAGACGAGGGAGCACGCUGUUAAAGUGAAGAAUACCUUGAUUUUCAAUGCUUUUGUCCUGUGUCAGGUUUUCAAUGAAUUGAAUGCUCGGAAGCCAGAUGAGAUAAAUGUAUUCAGUGGAGUCCACAAAAACCGUCUGUUCAUUUCAAUAGUUGGCUUCACAUUGGUGCUUCAGGUUAUCAUAAUAUUCUUUCUUGGAAAAUUCGUUUCAACUGUGAGACUGAGUUGGCAAUUGUGGCUUGUUUCAAUAGCCAUUGGAUUUAUAAGCUGGCCCCUAGCUGCUCUUGGGAAGUUGAUACCUGUCCCUGAGAAGCCAUUUGGGGAGUACUUUUCCAAGAAAUUACCGAAACGAAGAAAUCAACAGGAGUGUUCAUAGACAUUUAUACGUACACGAAAUUAACUAACUAACAGUGUCUCUGCGUUUUGUAAGGGUGGCGUUUCUUUUGCUACUGUACAGAACUUUGCCGAUAAUAUUUUACUAGUUGGGUCAUUUUGUGAAUUAGUAGAACAGUAUUAAUAUAUUUCUUGAUUGCCGCUUUAAAUUCGGAUGUAGUCGGCGUUUUCCUAAUGUACUCCACCUCUGAUGUUCUUGAAGGUAAAAAAUAGCCUUUUCUACUGUUCAUAUAACAUGAAUUUAUCAUUUAUACGAGGAAUUGAUUACUUGG